AUCCUUUUUUAGUUCACGAGCGUGGUGAUUGGGUGUUUCACAUAUGUGUGUGAGAUGCGCCACCCUCGAACCUUGUAUGACAUCGGCACUUUAACCAUUUGACC